GUGAAGAAGGUCAGUGGUAGCUUGAUGGGAAUAGCAUUGAUACUAUAAAUUACUUUCAGCAGUAUGGCCAUUUUCAUGGUAUUGAUUCUUCCUAACCUGAUGUAGGUGGUGCGGGGAUGGAGAGAGCAAACCACUAUGGCAUGUGUGUACCUACACAACAAUCCUUUCAGAUCUGCACAUGUACCCCGGAACUUAAGCACCUGGUAACUUUCCAGACAGUGCUCCUGUUAAGCCUGGAAUGCUAUGGAGAAAUACACACAUGAGAAUCUCCAGUUUACCCAAGAUGAACAUGAAGAGUGAAAAAGAAAUGAUUUCUCUUGUUCAAAGCCCCUAGGAUGUGAGUAAAAAGAAA
rnacentral:lncRNA from 1 species